CCUACGGGAGGCAGCAGUGGGGAAUAUUGCACAAUGGGGGAAACCCUGAUGCAGCAACGCCGCGUGAAGGAAGACGGUUUUCGGAUUGUAAACUUCUGUUCUUAGUGAAGAAUAAUGACGGUAGCUAAGGAGCAAGCCACGGCUAACUACGUGCCAGCAGCCGCGGUACUACGUAGGUGGCAAGCGUUGUCCGGAAUUACUGGGUGUAAAGGGAGCGCAGGCGGGAAGCCAAGUCAGCUGUGAAAACUACGGGCUUAACUUGUAGACUGCAGUUGAAACUGGUUUUCUUGAGUGAAGUAGAGGUUGGCGGAAUUCCGAGUGUAGCGGUGAAAUGCGUAGAUAUUCGGAGGAACACCGAUUGCGAAGGCAGCCAGCUGGGCUUUAACUGACGCUGAGGCUCGAAAGUGUGGGUAGCGAACAGGAUUAGAUACCCUUGUAGUC
rnacentral:rRNA from 1 species